rnacentral:rRNA from 1 species
AUUGGACGCUGGCGGCAGGCCUAACACAUGCAAGUCGAACGGGCGGCGGGCGGGUGCGUAAUGUCUGGGAAACUGCCUGAUGGAGGGGGAUAACUACUGGAAACGGUAGCUGAUAACGCAUACCAUCAGAUGUGCCGAGAUGGGAUUAGCUAGUAGGUGGGGUAAAGGCUCACCUAGGCGACGAUCCCUAGCUGGGCUGAGAGGAUGACCAGCCACACGGGAACUGAGACACGGUCCAGACUCCUACGGGAGGCAGCAGUGGGGAAUAUUGCACAAUGGGCGAAAGCCUGAUGCAGCCAUGCCGCGUGUGUGAAGAAGGCCUUCGGGUUGUAAAGCACUUUCAGCUAGGAGGCGUUACUCGCAGAAGAAGCACCGGCUAACUCCGUGCCAGCAGCCGCGGUAAUAC